CGCCUGCGCGUGGCGCUGGUGUUACGCUCGCGUAGCUGGGGUCGUGCGACCGCGUCCGCUGGGCUUUUAACCGCGAGCUGUCAGGCGGCCCGGGGCCGGGGCAGCGGGCGCGAGAAACUGCGCAGAGGGUGUGCGAUGAUGUAGGUAUCAGAAGGAUAUCUUGCUAUCUAAUAUUUGGUAUCAGAGUGAACGACUAUAGAGGAAUGUGUGACAUGAAAAACUAGAAGGAUAGAAAGAUGGUUAUUUCAAGAAAUAAAAAGAGUGGCAGAUUUCCAUGGGAUCCUGAUUGGCUUUGGAGGCUGAAGAAGUUAAACGACUCUGUGAAGUCUGCACAUCUGCUAGAGUCAUGAAUGGCUUUGGGGAUGAGCUCAUCAGCAGGUAGGUCAACUAACUACUCAGUCCAGCUAUCAUC
rnacentral:lncRNA from 1 species